AAGGAUGAAAAUAAUUUAGAAUCACACAAUCCCAGACUGGUUUGGGUUGAAGGGACCCUAAAUCCCCCCCAGCCCCUGCCACGGGCAGGGACCCCUUCCACUGGAGCAGCUGCUCCAAGCCCCUGUGUCCAACCUGGCCUUGAGCACUGCCAGGGAUGGGGCAUUCAUAGCUUCCCUCGGCACCCUGUGCCAGCGCCUCAGCACCCUCCCAGGGAACAGCUUCUGCCUAAGAGCUCAGCUCAGUCUCCCCUUGGGCAGGUUCAAGCCAUUCCCCUUGGCCUGUCCCUGCAGGCCCUUGUCCCAAGCCCCUNNNNNNNNNNNNNNNNNNNNUGCACGGACUCGGCAUCCACCUCCUGCACGGCGCCACCACCGUGGUCUUUGGGCGUGCAGCCAUGUGCACACUGUGUGUGCCAGAACAGACCCUUUCAAGAGCUCCAGAAGACUUUUUUAGCCUCUUUCUUUCAUCUGCAAGACCAAAAAGGAAAGAGAGGUUUCUGCAACUGGGAAGCAGGAGAAGAGAGCGGAGGUAUGUCUGGUAAUCGUAGCACAUGCUUCUCUGACCUUGCCGAGAGAGGAAAUCCAUUUACUCUCUGCUUUCAUCGAUUGGUCUGUAAUUUGCCUGUAGUUAUCCUCCCCAUUUCUACAUUUUACAGAAUCAUGGAAUGGUUCAUGUUGGAAGGGACCUUAAAGCUCAUCCAGCUCCAACCCCUGCCACAGGCAGGCAGGGACACCUCACACUAGAGCAGGUUGCUCCAAGCCCCUGUGUCCAACCUGGACUUGAACACUGCCAGGGAUGGGGCAGCCACAGCUUCUCUGUGCACCCUGUGCCAGCGCCUCAGCACCCUCACGGGGAACAGCUUCUGCCUAAGAGCUCAGCUCAGUUUCCCCUCGGGCAGGUUCAAGCCAUUCCCCUUGGCCUGUCCCUACAGGCCCUUGUCCCAAGCCCCUCUCCAGGUUUUUAAUUUCAGCAGCAAAAUGGAAACUUCCAUCAUUGUGAUAUUUCUGUAGGUACAAUUGCAGCAUGGCUGAGAGGAACAACAGUGAAGACACGAGGGUUGUCCUUGUUUCUCCCCAAAUUCCAUCACAUAUUUUCUUGUUUAAUGUCUGACCUUCUUUUUUGGUGCAUUUAAGAAAUAAGUUUUAUGACAGCAAGGAAAACGCAUCAUCUUUUCAGAGAGGUAUGCCAGGCCCUGCACAAUGUGGUUCGGCACUGUUUAAGAAUGGGAAGUAUUCCAAUAUACUGUGGUUCUCAGAUGCCCAAGGGAAAGAGACUUUUAUUAUCAUUGGUCACAGGGCUGCCAAAUGUUAUCUCAUAAAUUUGUGUCUUUCACAAUGGAUGAGGUGAGAAAUAACCUUGUUUAUUUAUUCUGGUUGGUUUAGGUGGUAAUGUCCACGGCAAUGAGAUAUAGCUACAUUGCUGUUGUGGUUAUUUGAAUACCUAAAAGAGUCUUACACUACAGAAGUUGUUCACUGAAUACAAAAUACAGUCCCCAAAGCUCUUCCAUAAAAACACAUUGUGGGAAAACACAACAACACAAGUAAUACUUGUUUUCUCUCUCAAAAAUUGCUCAAAAACACUUGGUUUUCAGAUGUGCAAUGCUGGGAAAGUAGUAUGUAACUGAUGGGGUGAUAGCUUCAAAAAGGGAAUGCUGCUUUUCAAGCAAUUCCCUUUUAAGCGGGCAUUACUUUGUGGAUUGAUCACUGGAGAAACAAAAGUGAGCUUGCACUUUUGAAAUCUACUGCAAAACUGGCACAGGCUUAAUAAGAAAGCAAGAUGCAAGUCAGUGGGUUUGAGGUGAGGUUAAUGUCCCAUUUUUCUGUGUUGUGAACAGUGGGGUGGUUUCUUUUUCCAUACAAUAACUUACAGGAUUGGGAAGAUUCUGCAAAAUCAUGUUCAUUUUGAGAAGAACUAAAGCAAAUGCAAAUGGGUCCCUGAGUUUUGAAGAGUACCAUGUGCUGUGUACAGUGUAAUAAAUCAAAACCUUUCUGUUCCUGUCGCGAUCUG
rnacentral:lncRNA from 14 species